rnacentral:lncRNA from 1 species
UCACAAAGAGUCAGACAUGACUGAGUGACUGAACUGAACUGAACUGAUCCUCCUUUUAUUUUACAGGAGAGAGACUUCAUUAUCUUUCCUUAUAGAAUAUAUCUCCCAGACAGAUGUUGAUUUCCUGAGCUAAAUGAAUGAUGCAACCCAAAGAAGCUGCUGACUGAAUGAACAUACAAAACAGCCCCAGACCCAAAGUGCAGCUUAGAAGAAUGGAAUGAAGCUCAGCUGAAGGCAGAAACGGAACAAAUGCUGAUCUGCAGUACUCGAGAUGCCUGGAGGUGGGAGUGCAGUUCGGAAUCCAAGGACAGCAGCCUGGAUCCAAGGUACCAGGAAGAUCAGAGGACCCUGGAAUUCCAGUCCUGCCCUGGAUUGGACCCUAAACCGUCAUGAGUGGCCCAGAAUUAGUACACUUACUCUCUGUGGUUUAUAGUCGCUCCGUUUUUCACCUCCUUUUCCUAGAUUCCUUUCAGUGAGCUU